CAGUAGAAAACAUACAACAGAGAUGUUUCGUUGUUUUAGUGUGAAAACAGAGGACAUUACGAGUGAAAAACGUCCUCCUGAGUGGACAACAGGACAACAAAGCAUCUGAAAAGAAAAGUGUGGACAAAUUUCAGGCUGUAAACCAGAGAGGAAGUGACAAACAAAUCUGCUGACUCACCUGCUAGCUUAGCUCUUAGCUCCACUCCACUGCAGAGGCAGAAGAGGAGGCGUCACGUGACUGACAGCGGGCAGACGGACGACGGAGUAGAAAUGCAACCGGUAGGAUAUUCACUACGCCAACUGAGAUGGCUGCUGCUGCUGCUGCUGCUGCUGGUGACAUUUCCCAGCCAAACUGCUCUGUUGUCUCCACCCUAAGUAGAAAACAAUCCACUACACACAGUUUUUAAACCGAUUAACCCUAGCCCUGGAUGCCAGAUUAUACAUGAGGCCCCAGGCUUUUGGCAGAUAGGUGUUUGUUGGUUAAAUUUAGAGUUAUUGGAGAACUUGCCACAUUUUUGUGUAUUUUUUUCUCCACCUGUUAAUAUGUUUUCACUGUAUUCACCUUGGGAAGUUGGGACAUUUAAAGGGCCUUUUUUCAACCCCACGAUGAUGAUUCAAAGAGCAGGGUCUAAGGAGACUUCAUGUUGCUGCUUCCAGAGAUGCACUUUAGUCCAAAGCUUUUCUUCAAAAUGUCUGGACGUGCUGUACGUGAGAAUCUCAAUGUUCCACCUGUCCUGGAUGGUCCUCUGAUGAAUAAGAAUAAGAACAAUCUGGUUCCAAACUGGUUUAACGCCCUCUGCUGAUGAAGAUCAUGUGAGAUAUGGUUAAAGGUUCCAAAGUGGCUUCUAAAGAGACUUCAUUUCCAGUUUCUAAGACCUGUCAAAGCCCACACGUUUUCCUGAAAUCAUCUACAAGUGUUUUGUGUGAGAUAUAUGUGAGUCAGGUCCUUCUCUUUCCCAAACUGUCAAACAAAAGCUUUUCCACAGCAGAUAAACCUGAAAACCCCAGAAUCUCCCCCAAAGCUGCUCAGAGGUCCCUGUUCUUAGCGUCAUGAAAGCCUUCGUUGGGACUGAAGCUGUCUGGAAGUUACAGCAUCGUUGCGUCACCACCUGGUCCCCACCUUCAGCUUACUCCCAAAGCGCCACUGCAGGUGUGCGAUAUAUUUUGGGAUACAUUGGGUUGUGAAGGUUUUCAUGGCAAAUGUAGGCCGCAUUAGGAGGAUCAUGCAAAUUUGGACAGACCUAGAGAAAAUCUUUGACUCACACUGGAGUUGCUGCCUCCAUCUGUAAGUUCAAACGUGUUAUUUUGUCCUUUGUUUCGUGUGAACCUCUGUGACACACGUGGCAGCACCUGUUUCCAUGCGAGCUAAAAAAAACCAUGCAGAUGUUCCCUCUGGAGUUUGGUGUGGGAGAGUAAGCAAACAUCAGUGAGGACACAUGGAAUAAACAUCUGUGACAAUGACACAAUGACAGAGCUGUGGAUUAAACAAACAUCUCUCUUUCUCUCUCUCUCCACAGCUUCACAUGUGAGCUGAAAUCAGAGGCAAUCCUCGCUCUUCAGUUCACACUCAGUCUCCAUCCGUCAGACGCGCUGACAGCGAGCCAUUAUUCCUUCAUCCCGCAUGAGGUCUUUUCAUCUCAAACUCCCAUACUUUAAAAUGGAUUUUCACUCAUGACGUCCACCUCCGUAAUUGUUCUGCUUUGAGGCGGCAGAGGGAAAUUAAUAGACAUUAAAGAGGAGGAGUUUACACUAUUGUGUCCUGGUCUGAAAGUCUGACAGGUCACAGAGAAUAAGAGUUCAACACUGUGAUCCAGCUGAAACGUUCAUUUUCCAAGAUAAAACCGUAUCUCUCCAUCCUCUCCUUCUUAGCAAUGGCAGAGUAUUUUCUUUAUCUUAUAUGUCUUCGUCAAAACCGAGUGAACUGUAGCAGUACACCAAAUGUCCUGUAGACCACACCCUGAGACACCUUCAUUUCUAAUUUAAGGUGCUCUUCCUGUGACCAGUAUGUGGCUCUACAAAGAAGACGAAAAAGAAUAGAGGCGCGGUAGAAGCCUGUGGCGUUGCUGUUCCUGAAAAUAAAAGAACCUGUGUUCUAUGCCAGCAACAGAUGUGGAGAACAACAAAUGCCCCGCCCACAGUGACUCUGUUUGGAUAAGCCACGCCCAAUGAGCAGGCCUGACGCAGCAGCAGUUAACCAACCAAUUUAAAUCACCUGCAGACAAUCACUGUGGCAGCUGACAUCACAGGAGUUAGCAGGGAUCAAUAAUAAAUUCUGUCCCAAGUCUUUUAAUCACCCUCUUUGGGAAAUGCUCAUGGACAACCUGCCCUAUGGAGAUUUUAA